rnacentral:rRNA from 1 species
GUGGGGAAUUUUGGACAAUGGGCGCAAGCCUGAUCCAGCAAUGCCGCGUGCAGGAAGAAGGCCUUCGGGUUGUAAACUGCUUUUGUACGGAACGAAACGGUCCUGGUUAAUACCCGGGGGUCAUGACGGUACCGUAAGAAUAAGCACCGGCUAACUACGUGCCAGCAGCCGCGGUAAUACGUAGGGUGCGAGCGUUAAUCGGAAUUACUGGGCGUAAAGCGUGCGCAGGCGGUGAUGUAAGACAGUUGUGAAAUCCCCGGGCUCAACCUGGGAAGUGCAUCUGUGACUGCAUUGCUGGAGUGCGGCAGAGGGGGAUGGAAUUCCGCGUGUAGCAGUGAAAUGCGUAGAUAUGCGGAGGAACACCGAUGGCGAAGGCAAUCCCCUGGGCCUGCACUGACGCUCAUGCACGAAAGCGUGGGGAGCAAACAGGAUUAGAAACCCUUGUAGUCC